AAUAAGAUGAGAAGACCCUAUGGAGAUUUCAUUCAUUAAUGCAAACAGAAACUCAAAAAAAGGCUACAGGCCCUAGCCUACUAUCUCUGCAUUAAAAAUUUUGGUUGGGGUGCCGGGCGCAGUGGCUCAUGCCUGUAAUCCCAGCACUUUGGGUGGCUGAGGCGGGCAGAUCACGAGGUCAGGAGAUGGAGACCAUUCUGGCCAACAUGCUGAAACCCUGUCUCUACCAAAAAUACAAAAAUUAGCUAGCUGGGUGUACUGGUAUGCACCUGUAAUCCCAGCUACUCAGGAGGCUAAGGCAGGAGAAUGGCUUGAACCCGGGAGGCAGAGAGCCAAGAUCGUGCCACUGUACUCCAGACUGGCAACAGAGCCACACUCUGUCUUAAAAAAUAAAAAAAUAAAUAAACAACAAAAAAUAAAAGAAAUUUAAAAUGUGGUUGCGGUGACCUCGGAGCAUAAUUCAACCUCCAAACAACCUAAACUAAGACCGCACUAGUCUAAGCGAGUUAGCACACAUUGACCCAAUAAUUUGAUCAACGGAAUAAGUUACCCUAGGGAUAACAAUGCAAUCCUAUUCUAGAGUCCAUAUCAACAAUAGGGUUUACAGCUUCGAUGCUGGAUCAGGACAUCCUAAUGGUGUAGCCGCUGUUAAGGCUUCGUUUGUUCAGUGAUUAAAGUCCUAUGUGAUCUCAGUUCAGAUCAGAGUAAUCCAGGUUGGUUUCUAUCUAUU
rnacentral:ncRNA from 1 species